rnacentral:misc_RNA from 1 species
GCCAAAUCCGCAGCAUAGCGCUCAACAGCUCUGAACGAAAACCUCCAUCAUUCCAUGAAAAGCAUAACUAACUUUCUACCCAAAAUUAUUGAAUCACAUAGUGUUCAAUGUCAUUACCAUUUAUCAGGGAAAUUACUACCCUAUCAGAGUACAUUUCUUAACUUCAUUAGUCAUAUUUGAAAAUGAUAACAAAAUUUUAAAUUUGUAGGAGCAAAAAAGCAUAAAAAGAUCCAAAUGCAACUUUGCUUGUGGACAAAAUUCAAAAAAUGUUACACAGAGUAAUUAGAAGAAAUUGCAUAAUAGCUUUCUGCAAUUUUCUUCAAACCUAAUUACUUUUCAGGGCAUUCUUAUUCUUUAGCAAGUUUUUUCAUAUAGCUGUUAAGCAUAUUGGUCUUGCAUCUAGA